UACGAAGGGGGCUAGCGUUGCUCGGAAUCACUGGGCGUAAAGCGCACGUAGGCGGCUUUUUAAGUCAGGGGUGAAAUCCUGGAGCUCAACUCCAGAACUGCCUUUGAUACUGAGAAGCUUGAGUCCGGGGGAGGUGAGUGGAACUGCGAGUGUAGAGGUGAAAUUCGUAGAUAUUCGCAAGAACACCAGUGGCGAAGGCGGCUCACUGGCCCGGUACUGACGCUGAGGUGCGAAAGCGUGGGGAGCAAACAGG
rnacentral:rRNA from 1 species